CCUACGGGGGGCAGCAGUGGGGAAUAUUGGGCAAUGGGCGCAAGCCUGACCCAGCAAUGCCGCGUGAAGGAAGAAGGCUCUCGGGUUGUAAACUUCUUUGACAGGGGAAGAGCAGAAGACGGUACCCUGAAAACAAGCUACGGCUAACUACGUGCCAGCAGCCGCGGUAAUACGUAGGUGGCAAGCGUUGUCCGGAUUUACUGGGUGUAAAGGGCGUGUAGCCGGGAAGGCAAGUCAGAUGUGAAAUCUGGAGGCUCAACCUCCAAAUUGCAUUUGAAACUGUUUUUCUUGAGUACUGGAGAGGCAGACGGAAUUCCUUGUGUAGCGGUGAAAUGCGUAGAUAUAAGGAGGAACACCAGUGGCGAAGGCGGUCUGCUGAACAGCCACUGACGGUGAGGCGCGAAAGCGUGGGGAGCAAACAGGAUUAGAUACCCCUGUAGUC
rnacentral:rRNA from 1 species